GACGAACGCUGGCGGCGUGCUUAACACAUGCAAGACGAACGGUAAGGCCCUUCGGGGUACACGAGUGGCGAACGGGUGAGUAACACGUGGGUGAUCUGCCCUGCACUUCGGGAUAAGCCUGGGAAACUGGGUCUAAUACCGGAUAGGACUCCGGACUGCAUGGUCUGGGGUGGAAAGCUUUUGCGGUGUGGGAUGGGCCCGCGGCCUAUCAGCUUGUUGGGGGGGUGAUGGCCUACCAAGGCGACGACGGGUAGCCGGCCUGAGAGGGUGACCGGCCACACUGGGACUGAGAUACGGCCCAGACUCCUACGGGAGGCAGCAGUGGGGAAUAUUGCACAAUGGGCGCAAGCCUGAUGCAGCGACGCCGCGUGAGGGAUGACGGCCUUCGGGCUGUAAACCUCUUUCAGCAUCGACGAAGCGAAAGUGACGGUAGGUGCAGAAGAAGGACCGGCCAACUACGUGCCAGCAGCCGCCGCAG
rnacentral:rRNA from 1 species